AUUGUUUGUAGAGCCUCAAGCAUGACCCCUCAUUGCCUUGCCAGUGCUAUUAGGAUUGAGCCAAAACCAUUCAGCAGAGCCUACAACGCCCUUCAAAAUCUGGCCCUGCCAGCCCUCAUCCUUGUGGCGCACCUCUCUCUCCCUCAAUCCUGUUCUCCAGUCCUGACCUCCUUUUAUUUCCUCCCAAGAGCCAUAUGCCUUCCAACACUGCUCAAUGACGUCAGAAAAAGAAGUGAGAGGUAUAAGGACUGGACAGGAAAAAUGAAAAUUAUCGCUCUUUUCAGAUGAUAUGACUAAGUACACGGAAAACUCUUGUUACAUCUAAUAAGCACUUAAAUGGUAUUUAUUACGUGCCAGACAUCAUCCUAAGUGUUCAACACUUAUUUGGUCCUCAUAACAAAUCAUCACGGAGCCUGGAGAGUUGUUCUAUGUUAACGUAAACACCAAGAAAUGCAACAACAUGUCAUUUGAGAUUUCCUACAUGGGACAGUGAUGUGACAAACUUAUUUGAACCAUAAUUCUGUGAAUCUAAGAAUAUGAUAAACAUGACUUAGCUCAGUGGAUCCGAAAUUUUAGAAAAGAUCUUAGAAUCAUUGUCCAGAAUAUUCCACAUUCCCAUGGAUAAUGCUUCGUCUGCAUUUCACUCUCUCUCUCUCUCUCUCUCUCUCUCUCUCUGAGUAUAUACGUCACCUUUUGUUGGUGGUUCCAUCACAGAUUACUUCUGUCAGUUCAUCGGGGUCAUUUCUAAAGAAUCAAAAGCAUAUAUGAUCAGACUCCAAGUGACUUCAUAGAGUUACACUCUUGUUUGCAAUUAGUUACAAGUAGUCUUCAAGUGGUAAACUGGUUGAACCCUAAAAAAUUAUUUGGAUAUUACUUAUUUGGAAACUAGUAUUUUAAUCUUCCCUAGAAAUAGGGCUUUCUAUAGUUGUAACGAAGAUCUUCGGCCAGUCAAAAAGCCUAAUGAAUGAAGAUAUUGAAAUACAAUUCUUCACUACUGAACCUUACCCUCACGUGUAAUUGCAUCGAGGUUGAAUUUAGUUCAAAAUUCAACUCCAGGUUGUAGGUACACAUUUCCCCAGCUCCUCCUAAUUUCCUGAUCCUCAACACCCUCCACCACAUCCUGACCCUUCAUGUAUCAUGUAUGUCUUUUCUGUUCCUCAUACAGGGUUCAGGUGACUGCAGGUCUGAGGCACGGGCUCCCUCCAAUAUGAUGGUGGCUUGGCAUUCGGGGCACCAGCUUUAGAUGGUGGCAGAGCUCUGGAGGCUGAGGAAAGGAGCCGAGAAAAACAUGAUGACCAUCAAAAGAAAAUCUCUUACUGUGCCGUCACCCUCAGUCUGCAUGUCAGAUGUCACACUCUGAACCAAGAAUCCACGAAAAAUGAAUGGGAAUAGUCAGCUGCAUGCGUAACUGACUACAGAUGAUGUGUAAAUGCAUGAUGGAUGGAACCGAAGUACCAUUCAAAUCUUCCAAAGUAACUAGGGGGUCUUCUGGUCUCAGCAAGGAAACUAAAAAUAAUGCCAAAUCCUCUGUGAUCUAACUAAUGGUAACAUGCAGGUUCUAAUGUCAUGUAAGGAAGCAGAGCCAAUAUGCAGUCAGGGGAAGAACUCCCAAAGAUUUCAUGUUGGUCAGUAUACCAAGAGCUCCAACCAGGCUGACAGACAUUUCCUGGACCACUUGCAAGGUGAGGCCCAACAGGAAGAAAGGGCACAGAACGUCCUUGAGAUCACUCAACUGCGUUUAUCCUGACUAUCCUCAUCAACAAAACUUGACUGGGUUUUCUAAGGAGAAAUUUAUUCUGGGAAGAGAAUGUGCCAACCAACUGUAAUGAGCAUUCUAUCCCCUUCCAACUACACAUCAGACUGAAAUUAAUAAACUGGGAUUCUAA